CGCGAGCCGAGGCUGACCCUGAUCGCGCCCUCGGGCCUCGGGGAAGGGGAGGUAUCCAGGUUUUCUGCCUGACUCGAGUCCCCGACGAGCAUCAACCGCAUUUGGGGAACCCAAGACAGCCUCCCCAGCAGCUUGCCCUCGGUUUCGGGGACCCCUGAACAACCCAACCAAGAAGGGAAAACUAGGGCGCACUCUCGGUCGGGGUGGGAGAGGAAAGGGGCUGGGGCUUCACGGAGUUUGGAGUUUGAACCCACCCGCACCCCUUUGAGCUAGGAAGUUUGACCCUUCGACGAGCAGGUCGCCUGGGGUAUGCCCCUGUCUCCGUGCCUCUGUCUCAGCACCGAGCGUCGGAGAGAGAGCGCGCCCUCCGCACCUUCUCCCACUUUGGGACAGACUUUCCCUUGCGCUGUCAGAGGGACCCGAGGCUGAGUACGAGGCGAGGCGGCAGGCAGCUCAGGCUGGCUGCGCAGCGCUGAGUGGCACCGCCGCCGCUCCCCAGGGGCAGGGCCCACCCCACACCCGGCUGACUCUCGCUGCCCUUCCUCCUUCCCUAUCGGGCUCUGCGGUCUGGAGGCUGGAGAGCGGUGAGUGGAGGGGCCUUCCCUGCGAGAAGUCAGAGCUGUGCCCGUGGGCAGGCUGGCUCCGCUGUUCUGCUCCAAGGAUUACAUGUCCUUCAAACGUCCCUGCCCCUGUAAGUUUCCUCCCCACAUCCUUCCACCACUUGGGGCCAGGCAAGGGCAGAGCUUGGAGUCGAGCUGCAGAGAACGGCUUGAGGUGUUUGGCCAAAGAACUGCAGGGGUCCAACCAGAGGCUAAUGUGGCAUGCUGGGUGGGGAGAGGGCAACACGGAAGACCCCUGACGUCUGCAAGAUGCUCCCUGAGAACUGAAAAUCGCACUUUGGCCCAUUCUUCUGUAUCAGCCCUUCCCGAAGUGUGGAUCGGAGUUCCUCUGAGGGAUGUUAAUGGGAUGACACACACCCACACACAAAUAAAAGACUACAUGGCCAAAUGAGAAGACCAAGGCAGAGGAAGGAGGCAAAAACAAGAAAGGGGGAGGCAGUCAAACCCUGACCCAGGGCAGCCCAGAGGGGUUUUGGCCAAGUGGCUGCAAGAGGGAGAUCAGUUUCUCUGCCAGCAAAUACCAAGCCUGUGAGCCAUUUCCCAGCCUUCAGAGGACCUGCCUCAAGCCUUGAAGUGUUUAUCCUACAGUGACUGUUGCAGAACUAACUCAGUCUUCCCUGCAGGAUUCUCC
rnacentral:lncRNA from 1 species